UACGUAGGUGGCAAGCGUUGUCCGGAUUUACUGGGCGUAAAGAGCGCGCAGGCGGUCGUUCAAGUCGCGUGUGAAAGCCCCCGGCUCAACUGGGGAGGGUCACGCGAUACUGAUCGACUCGAAGGCAGGAGAGGGAAGUGGAAUUCCCGGUGUAGUGGUGAAAUGCGUAGAUAUCGGGAGGAACACCAGUGGCGAAGGCGACUUCCUGGCCUGUUCUUGACGCUGAGG
rnacentral:rRNA from 1 species